CAGCGGAACUGCUGGCACCUUAUACGGGUGAUAUCGCCGCCGAAGGCAUUAGCAAAGCCCUGCGUGGUGGCGCGAAGUUCCUGCAUCACGGUAUUCAACGCCAGCAACGCUACGUGGCGGAAGCCAUUACUGAAGAGUGGCGUAUGGCGCCUGGUCCGCUUGAAGUGGCCUGGUUUGCGGAAGAGACAUCCGCCGUUGAGCGAGCCGUCGAUGCGCUAACCAAACGGCUGGAAAAACUGGAGGCA
rnacentral:sRNA from 1 species